GAUAAACGCUGGUGGCGUGCCUAACACAUGCAAGUCGAACGAGAAGCUCGCUUCUGAUUCCUUCGGGGAGAGGAAGUUGGCAGAAAGUGGCGAACGGGUGAGUAACGCGUGGGUAAUCUACCCUGUAAGUGGGGGAUAACCCUCCGAAAGGAGGGCUAAUACCGCAUAAUAUCUUCAUCCCAAAAGAGAAGAAGAUUAAAGAUGGCCUCUAUACUAUGCUACCGCUCCAGGAUGAGCCUGCGUCCUAUUAGUUAGUUGGUGGGGUAACGGCCUACCAAGACGACAAUGGGUAGCCGGUCUGAGAGGAUGUACGGCCACACUGGGACUGAGAUACGGCCCAGACUCCUACGGGAGGCAGCAGUGGGGAAUCUUGCGCAAUGGGGGAAACCCUGACGCAGCGACGCCGCGUGGAUGAUGAAGGCCUUUGGGUUGUAAAAUCCUGUUCUGGGGGAAGAAACCUUAAGGGUCCAAUAAGCCCUUAAGCUGACGGUACCC
rnacentral:rRNA from 1 species